GACGAACCACACGAACGUUAUUCGGAAUCACUGGGCUUAAAGGGUGCGUAGGCUGCGCAGAAAGUUGGGUGUGAAAUACCUCGGCUCAACCGAGGAACUGCGCCCAAAACUACUGUGCUCGAGGGAGAUAGAGGUGAGCGGAACUUAGGGUGGAGCGGUGAAAUGCGUUGAUAUCCUAAGGAACACCCGUGGCGAAAGCGGCUCACUGGAUCUCUUCUGACGCUGAGGCACGAAAGCUAGGGUAGCGAACGGG
rnacentral:rRNA from 1 species